AGCACAUCCCGCGCGGUCCUAAUGCUUGAUGGGUUCCAGCAGACUGAGGACGUGGGUUUGGGACUUUCGGACCACGGCGAGGUGAGCUUGGCCCGGAGCGGCAGAAGUGGGCGAGGUUCGCGUGGGAGGAGGGACAUCGACUUAGUUUUUCUUGAGAGAUCUGACCGUGCCGUGGCUGCAGACCAUCUUCGCGUCAGCCACCGCCCUGGAUCACGCCAAGUGGGUUCCCAGCCCCUGCCGCCUCGUGAACUCCGCCAAAGUCAGCCACCGGAGAUUACCAUAUUCUAAAACUUCACCUGGACCGUUGGUGUGAACGCUGGGACGAAGAUCCAGGAGUUAGGUCGGGAGUAGAGUGGUUUUGGGCGGCGAGCGCCCUUGCUCAGGCUGGCUGCAAGGUGCUGCUUUGGGCCGGGUAUCCGGCUGAGGGGACCCUGUUGCUGGGGGUGCUUGGCCUAAUGGUUGCAUCUGGCUUGCAAGGUUAAGUUUAAGAACGCCCUCCUGCCCCAAAUCUAUGGUUUGCGCAAUCACUUAUUGCCUACGUUUUAGUUCCUAUCCGUGAACAUUUGGAAUUCUUGAGCUGGUGUGAAUUUCCUGUAACUCUUUUAAACAAUUUAAUAAGUUACUGUCUUGUCAGGGUUUUAAGUUUUUAAGCGAUAUUACAUUUUUAAGUUUUGUAGACACCGCCCUCCCCAUGACUCUUUCAGUGAUAUGUAUAGCCCAACCAUAAAAAUCAAUUUAAAAACCAAACCAACCCAAGGGGCCAUGAUUGCUCUCAGAGCCAUCAGGACCAUCCUGUCUCAUUUGUGCUGGAGCCUGACUGCCGGUCAAGAGUUCUUGGCAUGCUGUUUGUCAGUCCAUGAUUGUAAAUAAAUAUAAAUCUUGUGCCCAGGGGCGGGGGAAACAGGAUUAUUAUUAUUAUUAUUAUUAUUAUUAUUAUUAUUAUUAUUUGAGGGUCCAUAAUAGUAGUUUCUUUGUGUGUUUGCUUUUUAAAAUUUCCGACAGUUUUAAAUAAAGAACUUAUACCAC
ensembl:lincRNA Gm7160 predicted gene 7160